rnacentral:other from 2 species
CGUUCUCUGCCGUGCUCGUGAUGGGUAUUUAGUCUUGAGCCAACACCCAUCUUUAGGGAGCUUGGUUCGGCUAUAGGUAUUUGCUUGUAGCCGACUGGCGCCCACCUUAAACCUGGGUUCAGAGACUUUUGCCCACACGGCACAGGCGGGGACAUU